AUUGCCAAGUUUUAAAAUAAGUCUCAUAACAAAGCCAAAAUGUUUUCAAAGAGGUGUCCUUUAGUUGUGCUGUGUCUCGUGGUGGUUAUGGCAGGGUUGGCAUCGUCUAAAAAUUACUUGAUAGGAGACACAAGUAACAUGCCUGAAUUCUGCAAGAAACAUCCUGUAGGUACCAGGGUCUGUAAUGGUAUUGCUGAUGAAUUGGGCCACUGGACCUGCUGCACAUGUGGACCAAAUGGUGCAUUUGGAUGUACAGGAUAACUGAAACCAGUAUGCUGUGGCGUCUGUGGCUACUUUCUUUUGGCUUGAAGAAAAUGAAGAAACAUGCUGUAGAACAGUGUGCCACUUGAAGUACAUAAAGUGUGAAUUUUGGCUUCAGUCUAUUUGACUGAUGCAGAUAGAUUAUUCAUUCUUAAAAUGUGAAUUAUGCAAAAAUAAAUGCUAAUCACAAACUAUUGUGCAUUGUUUAUCUCAUUUACUUCAGAAUAUUAGUAAUUAAAUAUCCAUUAAAAAUUUAGAAGCGUUUACAUGUCUUAUGCCAAUAAGUGUGUCUAAGGACAUCUUUUCACUUCAGUUGCUGUUAUAAAGGGCUAUAAAUAGCCUAUCACUGAAUGAGAAAGGAGAGAUUGUCAUGAUUGAUAUUUCAUGAAAGCAGCUCAGGUAUUUUGACACCAUUAUAUUUAUUAGUGUCCAAGUAUUUCAUUUAACAUGUGCAAAUGUUAUCCACUUCCAUUUUUUUCCCUUUGGCUGCCAAAUGAAAAACAAAAAACAUCUGUUAUAUAUCAUCUAAAUUAUAAUUUCAGAGGAUUAAAACUUAUCAUUCAAUUUUUCAAUGUAUUAAUUUUUUUGUGUUAGUUCACCAUUUUUUGACUGACAAACUUAAAAAUCCAUAUUUCUUUCUUAAAGUCUUCACAAAAUAUGAUUUCGGGGUCUUUUAUCAAAGAAUAUUUCAUAAUCCCAACCGUGUUGACACAUUACACCUUUGCAUCCGGUCUCAUACAAAAGAACACAGGAAGUUGUGGUUUUUUAAAAGUUCUGUGUAUUUACUUUGGCUAUUAUGAAAUACCGUACAUGGGUUAACAACUUUGAUAUUUAGUUAAGCUGUGCCAGUAGAUGAACAUCUAGUUGAGAAGCUAAGGGUAUUGUUAAAUAAUACAUAUUAAAGUGGGUAUUGUUAAAUAAUAUAUAUUAAUACACAUUUAAUUAUGUCAUAACACCACCUGUGAAUUCUACUCAAAUGUGCCUCAAAAUUUUCAUGAUUUGAACUUCUGAUAAUAAUAAUAUUUAUUUUAAUGUACAAAUCAACCACUUUAUGAGUGCUUAAAAGCAAUAAAUGGAAGUGUGCAUUUGCAGGUUUUCCAGUCUGCACAUUUCAGGACAUAUUUUCUGUUAAAGAAAUCUGAGGUACAAAAAAAUAAUAAAUCAAGACAAAAAAAA